GCUAGCGGGAGGCCUAAUACAUGCAAGUCGAGCGGUAGAUCUGACUUCGGUUGGAUUGAGAGCGGCGUACGGGUGAGUAACGCGUACACAAUCUGCCUUCAAGAGGGGAAUAGCCCUGGGAAACCGGGAUUAAUGCCCCAUGGUAUUACGGGCCGGCAUCGGUCUGUAAUUAAAGCUAAGGUGCUUGGAGAUGAGUGUGCGUCUGAUUAGCUAGUUGGUGGGGUAACGGCCUACCAAGGCGACGAUCAGUAGGGGGCGUGAGAGCGUGGACCCCCACACGGGUACUGAGACACGGACCCGACUCCUACGGGAGGCAGCAGUAAGGAAUAUUGGUCAAUGGAGGGAACUCUGAACCAGCCAUCCCGCGUGCAGGAAGACGGCCCUCUGGGUUGUAAACUGCUUUUAUCUGGGAAGAAAAGUCUUCAUUUAUGAGGAUCUGACGGUACCAGAGGAAUAAGCAUCGGCUAACUCCGUGCCAGCAGCCGCGGUAAUACGGAGGAUGCAAGCGUUAUCCGGAUUUACUGGGUUUAAAGGGUGCGCAGGCGGAACGACAAGUCAGUGGUGAAAUCUCCUGGCUCAACCAGGAAACUGCCAUUGAUACUAUCGUUCUUGAGUCCAGUUGAAGUAGGCGGAAUGUAGCAUGUAGCGGUGAAAUGCUUAGAUAUGCUACAGAACACCGAUAGCGAAGGCAGCUUACUAAACUGAAACUGACGCUCAUGCACGAAAGCGUGGGGAUCAAACAGGAUUAGAUACCCUGGUAGUCCACGCCCUAAACGAUGAUCACUCAUUGUUGGCAAAUAUAUCGUCAGCGACUAGGCGAAAGCAUUAAGUGAUCCACCUGGGGAG
rnacentral:rRNA from 1 species